rnacentral:rRNA from 1 species
AUUGAACGCUGGCGGCAGGCCUAACACAUGCAAGUCGAGCGGAUGAAGGGUGCUUGCUCCUGGAUUCAGCGGCGGACGGGUGUGUAAUGCCUAGGAAUCUGCCUCGUGGUGGGGGAUAACGUCCGGCAACGGGCGCUAAUACCGCAUACGUCCUGAGGGGGAACGAGGGGGAGCUUCGGACCUCACGCUAUCAGAUGAGCCUAGGUCGGGUUAGCUAGUUGGUGGGGUAAAUGCCUACCGAGGCGACGAUCCGUAACUGGUCUGAGAGGAUGAUCAGUCACUCUGCAGCUCGGAGACGGUCCAGACUCCUACGGGCGGCAGCCGUGUGGAGUAGUGGACGAGGGGCGCAAGCCUGAUGCAGCAAGGCCGCGGGUGUGCAGAAGGUCUCCUGAUUGUAAAGAACUUUGAGCUGGGGGGAAGGGGAGUAAGCUACCACCUUGCUGUAGUGACCUUACCAACAGAAUAAACACCGGCUAACUCCGUG